GGGUAUCCGUUGGGGUGCCCCUUGGGGCUGAGAGGUUUUGCACCAACCCAUCGAACCUGAUCCGGCUCGCACCGGCGGAGGGAACGGAAACCGCGCAUCC
rfam:Roseovarius mucosus DSM 17069 Contig79-2, whole genome shotgun sequence.